rnacentral:rRNA from 1 species
CCUACGGGGGGCAGCAGUGGGGAAUAUUGGACAAUGGGGGGAACCCUGAUCCAGCCAUGCCGCGUGUGUGAAGAAGGCCCUCGAGUUGUAAAGCACUUUCAGUGAGGAAGAACGCCUGGUGGUUAAUACCCAUCAGGAAAGACAUCACUCACAGAAGAAGCACCGGCUAACUCCGUGCCAGCAGCCGCGGUAAUACGGAGGGUGCGAGCGUUAAUCGGAAUUACUGGGCGUAAAGCGCGCGUAGGUGGCUUGAUAAGCCGGUUGUGAAAGCCCCGGGCUCAACCUGGGAACGGCAUCCGGAACUGUCAAGCUAGAGUGCAGGAGAGGAAGGUAGAAUUCCCGGUGUAGCGGUGAAAUGCGUAGAGAUCGGGAGGAAUACCAGUGGCGAAGGCGGCCUUCUGGACUGACACUGACACUGAGGUGCGAAAGCGUGGGUAGCAAACAGGAUUAGAUACCCUUGUAGUC